ACGCGAAGAACCUUACCCAGGCUUGAACAGCGAGUGACCACUCACGAAAGUGAGCUUCCGCAAGGACACUCGUAGAGGUGCUGCAUGGCUGUCGUCAGCUCGUGUCGUGAGAUGUUGGGUUAAGUCCCGCAACGAGCGCAACCCUUGUCUGCUGUUGCCAUCAGGUUAUGCUGGGCACUCUGCAGAGACUGCCGGUGAUAAACCGGAGGAAGGUGGGGAUGACGUCAAGUCAGCAUGGCCUUUAUGUCUGGGGCUACACACGUGCUACAAUGGCCGGUACAAACCGUCGCGAGCCCGCAAGGGGGAGCUAAUCGGAGAAAGCCGGUCUCAGUUCGGAUAGCAGGCUGCAACUCGCCUGCUUGAAGUUGGAAUCGCUAGUAAUCGCGGAUCAGCACGCCGCGGUGAAUACGUUCCCGGGCCUUGUA
rnacentral:rRNA from 1 species